CUUCAAAGUUCCCGCCUCCCGCGUUCGUUCUGGUCCUGCGUUCAACAAGAUAGGCGCAAAGACACUUUUUGAUCGAGAGAAUGCAAUAGAUUGCUUGACAGUAAGAGAAUGCAAUAGAUAGUAGCUCCGUUCCAUUGUUUUUUUUUUUUUUUUUUGUUGAGGAUGCGAAAGGAUUGAUUGGUGGCUCUAUUCCUUCGUUGUUCGACUGGGGACGUGAAGAGAUCGAUUGGUAGCUCUGUUCCAUUGUUGGUGGCUCUAUUUGCGUGAAUCGAUCGUUGAGGGAGGGAAAUCCAAAAUUUUGUGAAAGCGGAGGGAAAAACUUAGAGCCAUUGUCAAUCAAUAUUAAAGGGGGAGCCAAAUGGUUGGUUAAUAAAAUUAAAGUUGAAAGUGUAGAUCAUGAUGCAAGUGUGGACAUCUGGAGCUUUGGCGUGUUGUGCUAUGAAUUCCUUUAUGGGGUGCCAGUUGCCACCUUUUGAGGCAAGGGAACACUUAGACAUACUGAAGGUAGGCUAAAAUUCCGGCUAGCUGAACCCUUUUUAUUUAUUUGAUUUCUAUACUACUUCCAUGUUAAUUGAAUUAACAAUACGUCUCUUACAUGUCCUGUUGGCUCUGACUUGAAUAUGCAUGUAUGAGCUGCUCCAAGCUGACCUUGCAGUUGCUAGCUUUAGCAAGCUUUCACUAGUCAGUCUUCAAAGAUUAUUUUCACACAAUGGGUCUGCAUUCAUGGAUCUAUAUAAGCAAAUUAUAGAAAAGGCUCCCUCUAAGAGGAAGCUUACCAUCCGUCUUCUGAUUCAAUCUCCCUCUUUUUUUUCCUUUUCCAUCUUUCUCCAAGAUUGGCAUGUAAUUAUGUAUUUUGUA